rnacentral:rRNA from 1 species
GACGAACGCUGGCGGCGUGCCUAACACAUGCAAGUCGAACGGAGUUAAGACUUCGGUUUUAACUUAGUGGCGAACGGGUGAGUAACGCGUGAGAAACCUGCCUUUCAGUGGGGGACAACAGUUGGAAACGACUGCUAAUACCGCAUAAUGUUAUUUGAGGGCAUCCCUGGGUAACCAAAGAUUUAUUGCUGAAAGAUGGUCUCGCGUCUGAUUAGCUAGUUGGUGAGGUAAUGGCUCACCAAGGCGACGAUCAGUAGCCGGUCUGAGAGGCUGACCCCCCACACUGGGACUGAGACACGGCCCAG